CUACAUAAGAUGUGCUAGCUACUCUCUGCCUUAGCAGUUAGCAGGAAGCACAAACUCCAUAUCGUUCAUUCACAUAUGAACACAUGGGAAUGGGUGGAGACGACGACCUAACAGAAUAUGAGGAUGGAAACAUAGAAAUGUGAGACGUCGGAAAAAGAGCACUUGCGCUGCCACUGCGUCCUGGACGAACCAACACCCCGCUGCCCAUCGUCGCCUCCAUCGAUGGGUGGGUGUUCGUCGCACUCCUCCACUGCCUCCCGGCUAAGGGACUUGUGGAGUGGGUGGCCCAUCACACUGAUCCACCGCCUCGAGGUUCAGGGCCUCAUGUGUCCUUGCUCGAUGGCGCAUGCCUACAAGUCCGAGCGGAGUUCCAGGGCAUGGCAACAUCCGUCAGGGAUCGGCACAGAGAUCAGC
rnacentral:lncRNA from 1 species